UUGGGGAGAUCUUCAAAGUUAUAAUAAGCUAGAGCCAACGUGGCAAAGCCAUGGCCAGCAAGGAGGCUGGCUCGAUAUUCCAAGAGGCCCCCUCCAAUACCAAAGAUGUCAAUGAUCCCUGGGAAGGGUCCAGGUCUGGCGGCAGGAAGAGCGUGGCGCGCACCCGGCCCGCUCGCACCGACUGGCGCCGCACCCCUGGCGGGAGGAAGUGGCGCUCGUGCUGCGCCUGGCACAGCAGCCGUCCAGGCUCGGGGUCGUGGCCGUCCAGCACCUCCAACUCCACGACAAAAGGAAUCUGUACGUCCCGCUUCAGGAAGCGCCAAAAAGGCUUCUCGGGUUCCAGGGCCCAGAGCAGCCCCAUGGGCUCGAGUCCCGCGAAGCUGCCGCCCAGCGCGGGUGCGCGCUCCAGGUCCAGCUCGCCGCGGGCGUCGGCGCAGUAGCGCGCGUGGGCCCGGAAGAGCGCGCCCUUCUCGUCGCGCAGGGACGCGCGCAGCGUAACCCGCUGCUCCGGGGCCAGGCCGCGCACGGCAAUGCGCACCGGCUCGUUCCAGCAGCAGCGGCCUGGGGGCUCCAGGAUCAGCGUUGCUGACAUCUUGGAGCCGGAGCGGGGAAUUCAAAGGUCGAGGCCCGAGACCCGUCCAAGAUCGUGGCAAGCGCGCCGAAUGUCCGGACGGCGUCCG
rnacentral:lncRNA from 1 species